UACGUAGGUCCCGAGCGUUGUCCGGAUUUAUUGGGCGUAAAGCGAGCGCAGGUGGUUUAUUAAGUCUGGUGUAAAAGGCAGUGGCUCAACCAUUGUAUGCAUUGGAAACUGGUAGACUUGAGUGCAGGAGAGGAGGGUGGAAUUCCAUGUGUAGCGGUGAAAUGCGUAGAUAUAUGGAGGAACACCGGUGGCGAAAGCGGCUCUCCGGCCUGUAACUGACACUGAGGCUCGAAAGCGUGGGGAGCAAACAGG
rnacentral:rRNA from 1 species